UCCCCUAGUAACGGCGAGUGAAGCGGGAAGAGCUCAAACUUAGAAUCUCCGUUGCUUGCAACGGCGAAUUGUAGUCUCGAGAAGCGUUUUCAAGACGGAUGCUCAGUGCUCAAGUUGCUUGGAACGGCACAUCAUAGAGGGUGACAAUCCCGUAUGUGGCACUGAGUACCGUUCACGAUGCGUUUUCCAUGAGUCGGGUUGCUUGGGAAUGCAGCCCAAAAUGGGAGGUAAACUCCUUCUAAAGCUAAAUAUUGGCACGAGACCGAUAGCGAACAAGUACCGUGAGGGAAAGAUGAAAAGCACUUUGAAAAGAAAGUUAAUAGUACGUGAAACCGUUGAAAGGGAAGCGCAUGGAAUUAGCAAUGCACCGUCGAGAUUCAGACUAGCGGAGGCGACUACGCGCGUUGUGCGGAUCCGAAUGGACUGCCGGCGUACGUCAGGCGUUUCUGUUUGUCGCAUUUCCCGGCGGUGUGCGUCAACAGCUGUUGGGACCGAGUGAUGAGCCUUGCAGGGAGGUGGCUGGCUUCGGCUAGUGUUAUAACUUGCAGGUGCGAGCUCGGGUCCGACAGAGGGGUUGCGGCACAUGCUCUUCGGGGCUGGCCUCUCUCCUCUCAGUCCUUUGUCGACCAGGGCGGACUGCGUGCAGUGCGUUCGAACUGCUUGGGGCUGUCGGGGGGAAGAGUGCACACACUGUGCCCAGGUUGUUGGCGGUCAUAUGAUUUCAUGCGACCCGUCUUGAAACACGGACCAAGGAGUCUAACAUGUGUGCGAGUCUUCGGGUGACUGAAACCCUCGGGCACAAUGAAAGUAAAGGCUCGCAAGAGCUGAAGUGAGAUCUCUCUCUACGGGGGGAGCGCAUCAUUGACCGACCUAUUCUACUCCUAGAAAGGUUUGAGUAAGAGCACAUCUGUUGGGACCCGAAAGAUGGUGAACUAUGCUKGAGUAGGGCG
rnacentral:rRNA from 1 species